rnacentral:lncRNA from 1 species
AACCCCUCUAAGUGAUGCAGAAUAGGGGUUUGUGGCAGGGGUGCGACUUUCCACAUGGUGGUUGCUGGUGCCGACGUCCUGGUAAAGCGGUUGCCUCUGAGUGUGGUGUUGGUCUGAAGUCAGCAGCCGUGCAGUCAGGAAAGAAGGCUGGGCAAAGAGAAAGGCGCAAGGACAAACUGGCGCCCAUGAAGAUGGCCUGGACCUGUACGUGACCCUCACUGUCUCAGCCUCCAUGACAUUGGGCAUCCUGCAGAAGAAGCUGGCGCCUUUGCCACAGAGCUAUAUGCACGCCUGGCUUAUGACUCAGCGAAGCUGGAGCGGGGAGAUGCAGCAGGAGCGGAGAAUCCAUGGGCUCGGUGCGGCCCCUCUCUCCCCUGGGCGAGCCCGUGGAGCCACAGAAUGCAGAAUGUGCCUGGCUGAGCUGCGGCAGCACCGGAGCCGCUUCACCUCCACCUUUCACUCAUGCAGAUGUCUCUGGGAGUCAGCUUCAACUGGGAACCACGUAGGAAGGAAAUUCUGGGCAACGUAGUUCCAGUUGAGCUCUGUGCACGCAGUAUAUGCAGCCACCGUGAGGGAGUCUGUUAUUUUUUUCCACUUUAUAGGUAGGACAGUGGAGGGAGGGAGGGGUUAAGUGACCUGCCCAGAGUCACCUAGCUAGUAAGUGGGACUCCCGCUUCAGUGCUUUUGAAGCUGCCACCCAGUGCUUCUACUUUUUCGCUCCAGGAAGCCCACCCGAGUCCUCCAGGAGCUGGACCUCGGGGCCCUCCGGUCCAUCGAGAGCUCCCCCGAGAUGAAGCCUCCCAGGUACAGGAAACUUCCCGCACAGCCCCUGGAUAGGCCGCGGUGGAGCUCAGUCCUGGUCUCUUGGAAGUUGAAGUUUCUUUAUGUUUCACCAUGCAUACUUAUUUCUCGGUGACAAGCUUCCUGUGUCUCUCUUACGAGAAUGCUGACCAGGCUUGUCUGGGGCUCACCGUGAGCACCCGAUGCGGCUGGCAGGUGGAGGACGUUUGUGUGUGGAUCAUGUGUUUGGGCCCCUUCACAACAACUCGUACCUUUUACUGCCAGCUGCUGCCAGGGGCUGUAGGCAUCCCACUGCCGCUUACAGAGAUCCAAGUGUUUGUUUCCCAGUAAGCCAUGGAGUUUAGAGUUGAGCAAAGGCCUGCCUGGCACACGACUGCCACUGGGUCGGCCGAGCCCUGGGUCUGCAGCUCCCUUUAGGAGCUGGAGGAAGGGCCACCAAAGCCAUGGGUGGCGUUUCUUGAGCUGCAUCUCAGGGUGGGGCAGCACACCCCAGGCCCUGUGCCCUAGGGGCCUAGAUGGGGUAAGCACAGAUUUUCUCUACCGCUGGAAACUUAGGGAGGAGGGCUUUGCAAACAGCGACUGAAUGGAGCCAAAGGGGAUUCAGGCAUCAUGGGAUAAGCAAAGUGAGUAUUCAGUCUCCAAAUCUGAGACCUCAAAGUUCUUGAAUUUCCUGACUGCCUCAGUCUCCCAGCCUAUGCUUCCUGAGUCCUGUUAGCACCUGGGGCUGUUGACAUGCAAUUCUUUGGUCAUGUGUCUUAGUCAGUUCUAGCUGUUAUAACAAAACACCACAGACUGGGUGGCUUAUAAACCACAGACACUUCCAUCUCACAGUUCUGGAGGCUGGGAGUCCAAGACAAGGUGCCAGCAGAUUCAGUGCCUGGUGGGGCCCCUUUUCCUGGUUCAUGAGAUGGUGGCUUCUUCCUGUGUCCUCACAUGCGGAGGGGGCAAGCUGGCACUAUGGGACCUCUUUUAUAAGGGCACUCAUUCCAUUAGUGAGGGCUCUGUCCUUGCAGCCUAAUCACCUCCCAGAGGCCCCACCUCCUCAUACCGUCACCCUGGCAAUUAGGUUUCCAUGUGUGAAUUUUGGAGGGACACAUACUCAGAUUGUAGCAUCAUGUUCACCUUAUUUUCUGUGGGUGCUGUCUCCUGGACUUAGGCUGAGUCCUGCACAAAGAGAGCUUCCAUGUGGGGCUCCUGACCCCCUCCCACUGUGUCCCCUGCUGUGUAACCUCUGCAUAGGAGGGACUGAAGAGUUGUCAAGAGGCCUGGUUUGGGACGGUCCUUACUGGUCAUUUGAGGAGGUAAAACUUCCGUGAGGUGAUUACUUUAAAUAAGCUUUUAAAUGUGAAAUAAUUUUAGAUUAAUAGAAGAGUUUUACAGAUAGUACAGAGAGUGCCCAUAUCCCCUCCAUCCAGCCUGACCUACUGUUAACAUCGCACACAGCCACGGCAAAUUAAUCUCUACCAUGAGAUGACAGCACUAUUCACGAAACCCUAGACUUUCUUCUCAUGUCCCCGGUUUUCCCACUGAUGACCUUUUUGUGUUCCAGGAUCCAGUCUGGAUGCCAUGCUGCAUUUACUUGUCACAUCUCCUUAAGUCUCCAGUGUGUGACAGUCUCUCGGUCGUUCCUCAUGUUUCAUGACCUUGACACGUGAGGAGUCGGGUAUUUUGUAGACGGUCCCUCCGUUUGGGUUUGUUUGAUGUUGUUUCGCAGUUAAAAUGAGGUUAUGGAUUUGGGGAUGGAACACCGUGGAGGUAAAGUGCCCUUCUUGUCACAUCGUAUCAGGGGCCACAUGUUACCAACACAACUUAAUAAUGGUGAUGUGAACCUUGAUCACUUGGCUAAGGUGGUGUCUGCUUGGUUUCUCCAUUGGUAAGCUACUGUUUUUCCCUUUCUCUACUCUGUGUUAGAUUUGAGUCUGUUAAGUCCAGCCCAAACUCAAGGGCAGGGGAUGGGGUGGGGAGAUUAAUCUCCAACUCUUGGAGGAUGGAGUAGCAAAGAAUUUGUGAACAUAGGUUGCCAAAACCACCACCGUCAUUGACCCAUGUUUUCGGAGAGAUGCUUUGACCCUAUACAGAUACCCUGUUUCCAGUGAAGUUGCUUUUCAAAUGGCUUUGUUCAGUUUUGAACAUGAUGCAGGCUGUCUCCCUCUUCCCAGGUUCUGACAUGAGGUUUGUGAAUUUGAUUAAUAAAAUGCAUAGGGAGAAGCCGAUUUCUUUGCCUAUUUAUGAUGCUGCAUCAGAGUUCUGCUGGCCGUUGCAUUUUAAUAUUGGGAAAUCUGAAGGCUGUGUCUCUUGGGGGUGACACAUGGGAGCUUGAAGCAGAAGAGCUGGAUGGGCCCCAAUGUCAGGAGAAUAGUGGUGCUUACUUAUUGCAUAUGGGACUCACUUGUUUGCUUGCGAAGGUAAGGUAACAACUUAGAGGAAGUGUUAAGAUAACGUCAGUAGCAGACGAUAUUUUUAGAUGCUAUUUUCUCUACCCAUGUCUAUGAACUCUCAAUUGCCCUGUGUGAAUUUAAGGGGAAAAAAUAUGGUUUUAAGUAGCUCUGGCCCUAACUGACCCUGUGGCAAAUUCAGUUGGCUCUGUUGAAGGAUUGUUAGGCUGGUGGUGUGUUUACGUGUUCCAAAAUUCUCAGUCAACUGCUUGGUGAGUUAUCUGUGGAAAAUUCUAUAUAGAAGAUGCUGUUCUUAGCAUUCUGACCAACUCUGUUAUUGAUCUAUGACUGCUACUCAUUUUAGCAGAAUAGUGGGGAGGUCAAUCUCCUACAGGAAAAUAAAUACGUAAUGGUUUUUUAAGUAAAUAUAAAUUGGGAUUAUCUGUUUUUGAGCAUCUUUUCCAAUUCCUGGUGACACAUAACUGAGGUGUGAAAGCAUGCAGUAUACCCCCACCUGGUGGCAGCACACCUGACUAUUUGUACUUGGAACAAGGCUGAUCUGUAAGGCAAGUGGGUUGCAGAUGAUCUGCUCCAGCAGGAGGUGAACUGUUGAAAUCUGGAACUUUCUCUUGCAGGACGAUUUCCUGUUCAGUGUCUCCAUUUUAAGUGGGAUUCUUUGCAGCAUCCUGGCCGUGUUGAAGUUCAUGCUGGGGAAGGUUCUGACCAGUAGAGCACUCAUAACAGAUGGGUUUAACUCCCUCGUGGGUGGCGUGAUGGGCUUCUCCAUUCUUCUGAGCGCGGAAGUGUUCAAGCAUGACUCGGCGGUCUGGUACCUGGACGGCAGCAUAGGCGUUCUGAUCGGCCUCACCAUAUUUGCCUAUGGGGUCAAACUCCUCAUCGACAUGGUGCCGAGGGUGAGGCAGACACGUCACUACGAGAUGUUUGAGUGAAGGGGGCCAGCAUCCGCAUGAGACCAUCGAGAUGAGGAGUUUCCACAUAGGCAAAGGGUGCCAAUAUUUAACUGAACAUCUGGUUUCUUUUUGGAAGUUUUCUUUCACAUGGUUUGUCAUUACAAGACAAGGUCUGCCCAGCCAGGUGGAUCUACCUUGCCCCCAUCACCUGCCGCCCCCAUCAAACAUGUUGGGACAAUGCCCAUAGGAAUGGACCUCCUUCCCCGUCUCCAGCUGGGACUGGCGUUUUUUAGUCUCUGGAGUAUGAUGGUUCUCAUGGGUAGGAUGAGAUCUUUGGCAGAAAGGUCUUCGGUGGUGCUCUGAGCCUGCGCUGCAUAGGACUGAGCAGACCCACCUCCUCCAGCUUGGGUGGCCCUGCCACUCCUGGUUCCAAGUCUCUCCUUUCCUGGCAGGUCUUAAGGGAAGAUUGUACCCCUCACCCUUUACAUACCCAGAAUCAUCAGUAUGUCACUUCCUAAUUUCUAUCAGUGUAUCUCAUUAUUUCAUACUGUUUUACUAAUCCUAAGUCUAAACAGAUUUGCUCAAAAGGAGACCAUUCUAUUUUUUAAAGUACUUAGUGAUACACGUAUAAGCUUUGCAUGGACGAAUUAAAUAAGCACAUUGACCUUUUCUUGUACAUUCAGAACCUGAACAUCCAUGUGAAAACUGGGUCCAUUUUUGAGAGAUGUGAAACUACAGUUUAUUUGUAAUAAAUAAAUAUAAUCUAUCCGUAUAUGCAUAUAUCUAUAUGCUGUGUUAAGUGGUAAUGGGUACAUUACAGUCUGUGAGAGAUGGAUCGCUCCCUCUGUAAGGAACAAGACGUUCUCAGCUGAUGUCACGGUAGGUUUAGAUUCUGUAGAGUGUUCCCCAACCCGCACCGUUCUGUACCUCUCACACCACUGCUUGCCCGGGCAGUAGUGGCUGACCAAUAAAGACCUUUACCUGUUUUGUA